GACGAACGCUGGCGGCGUGCUUAACACAUGCAAGUCGAACGGAACGGCCCUGCUUUUUUUGGUUGCUCGAUUGGCGAACGGGUGAGUAACACGUGAGUAACCUGCCCUUGACUUUGGUAUAACUUCUGGAAACUGGGGCUAUUACCGGAUAGGAUCUCCUGCUGCAUGGUGGGGUUUGGUUUUUUUCGUCGUUUGGGGAUGGACUCGCGGGUUAUCAGCUUGUUGGUGUAGUAUUGGCUUACCAAGGCUUUGACGGGUAGCCGGCAUGUGAGGGUGACAGGCAAAAAUGGGACUGAGAGACGGACCAGAGUCGAACGGGAGGAAGCAGUGGGGAAUAUUGCACAAUGGGAGGAAGCCAGAUGAAGAAACGCCGCGUGCGGGAAGACGGCCUACGGGUUGUAAACCGAAUUAGAAUGAGAAGAAGAGUGAGGGACGGUAAUGGGUAAAGAAGCAACGGCUAACUACGUG
rnacentral:rRNA from 1 species